rnacentral:rRNA from 1 species
UAUAGCUAGGGUAAGAGCUUCAGGCUUGGAUCCGUAGCGAAAGCGAGUUUUAAAUGGCGAUAUAGUUAUAUAUAGUAGACGCGAAACCAAGUGAUCUACCCUUGACCAGGUUGAAGUUCAGGUAACACUGAAUGGAGGACCGCACGGCAGAAUGUUGAAAAAUUCCCCGAUGAGUUGAGGGUAGGGGUGAAAGGCUAAUCAAACUUGGAAAUAGCUCGUACUCCCCGAAAUGCAUUUAGGUGCAGCCUUAGAGUUUAAAUAUAAGAGGUAGAGCGACUGAUUGGAUGCGAGGGCUUCGCCGCCUAUCAAGUCCAGACAAACUCCGAAUGCUUAUAUGUACACUCUAGGAGUGAGGGCAUGGGUGCUAAGGUCCAUGUCCGAGAGGAGAAGAAUCCGGACCAUCUGCUAAGGUCCCGAAAUGACAGCUCAGUUGACUUAAACGAGGUCACGAUGCAUAGACAGCUAGGAUGUUGGCUUGGAAGCAGCCAUUCAUUUAAAGAGUGCGUAACAGCUCACUAGUCGAGGAUUGUGGCAUGGAUAAUAAUCGGGCAUAAGUUGUCUACCGAAGCAGUGGAAUCAUUUAUGAUUGGUAGGGGAGCAUUCCAGCGUGGUUGAAGAUAGAUCGACGAGGUCUGUUGGACAUUCUGGAAGUGCAAAUGUAGGUAUAAGUAACGAUAAAGGGAGUGAGAAUCUCCCUCGCCGAAAGACUAAGGUUUCCUCCUCACCGUUCGUCGGAGGAGGGUUAGUCGGGACCUAAGGGUAAUCCGUUUGGUGAUCUCGAUGGAAGAAAGGGUUAAUAUUCCCUUACUCGGUAUGUUAAGUGAUGUGGAGACGGAGAAGUGACAGUCCUGCCUACUGUUGGAAUAGUAGGUUAAAGGGUGUAGAUGUUGAUCUUGGUAGGCAAAUCCGCUGAGAGAGUCGAACCUGAUAGUAUGUGAAUCCUUCGGGUGCAGCAAUAUGGACGUAAGCAGGCUCCCAAGAAAAUCCGCUAAACGUUAAUAGCAUAUCGACCCGUACCACAAACCGACACAGGUAGUUGGGUUGAGUAUACUAAGGCGCUCGAGUUAGCCGCGGUUAAGGAACUAGGCAAAUUGGUCCUGUAACUUCGGGAUAAAGGACGCCGUUGUGGCGACACAACGGCCGCAGAGAAUAGGCCCACGCGACUGUUUAUCAAAAACAUAUGGCUAUGCGAAUUAGAAAUAAGAAGUAUAUAGCCUGACACCUGCCCGGUGCUGGAAGGUUAAGAGGAGAGGUCAAACGUAAGUUGAAGCCUUGAAUUGAAGCCCCAGUAAACGGCGGCCGUAACUAUAACGGUCCUAAGGUAGCGAAAUUCCUUGUCGGGUAAGUUCCGACCUGCACGAAUGGUGUAA